UAUGCAUUCCUCUGCGCAUCAGUUGGAUUCAUCAUUAAAUCCUCAUAGCCAUUCUGCACAAUUUCACUCACUUCUUGUGCUCCAAAUAGAGAUUUCAUCAGCGCACGCCAUCAAUCCCAUUUCUUGCCAUCAAGAACCAGAAUAUUUGAUCCAAAAACAUUCUUAUUCAUCUUGCCUAUCAAGAAUCUAUCACUCAGUGUUUCCCUUGAUUGUUC
rnacentral:lncRNA from 1 species